rnacentral:rRNA from 1 species
GUGCAAGCGUUAAUCGGAAUUACUGGGCGUAAAGCGCACGCAGGCGGUUUGUUAAGUCAGAUGUGAAAUCCCCGGGCUCAACCUGGGAACUGCAUCUGAUACUGGCAAGCUUGAGUCUCGUAGAGGGGGGUAGAAUUCCAGGUGUAGCGGUGAAAUGCGUAGAGAUCUGGAGGAAUACCGGUGGCGAAGGCGGCCCCCUGGACGAAGACUGACGCUCAGGUGCGAAAGCGUGGGGAGCAAACAGGAUUAGAUACCCUGGUAGUCCACGCCGUAAACGAUGUCGACUUGGAGGUUGUGCCCUUGAGGCGUGGCUUCCGGAGCUAACGCGUUAAGUCGACCGCCUGGGGAGUACGGCCGCAAGGUUAAAACUCAAAUGAAUUGACGGGGGCCCGCACAAG